CACUUCAUCUCAAUAAAGUGACUGACUACACGGGCUCACAGGUGUGAUUGUGUGUCCAAGCGGGCCGUCCAGGUCGCGGAAUCGAGCACACCCCGCAGCCAGCGAACCCCCCUCUCCCACCCCCUCCUUCUUUUUGGCGAGGCGCGUUCAUGACUUGUGCUCGUGAGGAGAAGAAAAGUUUUGGGGACAAGAAAAGAAAAGAACGUUCUGGAAGACAACGAUCUUUUUUGUUUGGGACAUGUUGACACACGGCAGCAAGCUGCAUUAAAACAUGGCGGCGUGUCGUAGGGGUGUCAUUGUGGUGGUCUUCCUGCUGUGGGCGGGGCUUCACACACACGUGUGUGGCUGCGAGUGCGGGGGUCCGUGGCUGAGGGAGGAGGAGGCAGGGCUUCUGGCGUCUCCGUGCUACCCCCAGCAGUACCCCAACUCUCAGAGCUGCAGGUGGCGUUUGCGGGCCCCCCCAGGUUUUGUAGUGCAGCUGACCUUCGUGGACUUCCAGCUGGAGGAGGCGCCGGGCUGCGUGUACGACCGUGUGGCCGUGCACGGCGGGGCCGGGCGCGUGGACCUGUGUGGCCUGACCGCGCACGGCCUCACGCUUAACUCCAGCGGGAACAUCAUGGACGUGGAGUUCACUUCCGACUUCAGCGUGCAGAAGAGAGGCUUCAGUGCCACCUUCCGCCAUGUCCCCGUGGCACUGAGGAACCAAAAGGUCAGCGUUGCCGGGGGCAACGACCAAGUGGCCAAAGUGUCGUCUUCUGUUGCCAUGCCGACACUGCACCACCUGACUCUCUGCUUUGAGCUGGAGCGCAGCGCACGCCAGCAGGUGGAAUGGAUCUUCACGUAUGAAGACGAGGAUGGCAACACGGCAUUGGCGCUGGGUGGCGACGAGAGUGGCGUGAAGCUGGUGGUGGGAGGCGUGACGUGCUCACUGGACUCCAUCGUGACGGCGUCCGACUGGAGCUGGUCCAUGAAGAACUUGUGCGUCCUCUGGUCGUCGUCCAACGGGCGCGUGGGCGUCUACUUGGAGGGCAACCAUUGGGCCAAGACGUGCUCCGCCUCCACUGGACGCUCCGUGGCCGGGGGCGGGACCUUCCACCUGGGAGGAGGGGUGCACAGCUUCGAGGGAAACGUGUACAACAUGCGUGUGUGGGACUAUGCCAUGACGGUGCAGCAGCUCAACGCGCUCACAUGCAAGGUGGUGGGAAACGUCAUCGACUGGGACAACGCCUUCUGGGACAUUCCGUCAUCGCUGACACAGACGGACCACUCGCUCAGCUGCAGUGUGACCCCGCCCAGCAACAGCACCCUCAACACCCACUGUGACACCACCCGCCUGGGAUGUCCAGCCGCUUCCUCUCCCGCCAGCUCAUCCACGUCCUCCACUAACAGCAUCCAUGCUACUAAUGUCCACGUCCAUCCCAACACUUCCUCUGCUCCCACUCGCAUGCCUCUAACCCCCACCAGAACCAGCAGAAUCAGCGGCUCCUCUUUGGAGGUCGUCAUCUACAAGCUGUCGGUGGUGGUGCAUGAUGGGAGCUCCACACUAACUCAGGCAGACGUGAAGGAAGCAGUGUCCUCCUGGCUGAACCAGACCUUCCAGAAUUGGACUCACUCUGUCUUGGUGGACACAGUCAGCGUACAGUCUGCACUCCUGCCUGGAGGUCACUCAAGCUUCGCCAGCCAUGCUCUGCUGCUUCACCAUUACAUCACUGACGACAGUCCGGGCCGAGACGCUGUCUCUGCUAGAAUAUCUAGCAGGGACGCACGCAUUGGUGCUGGCCUGGUGGUCCGCACCGCCUCCAUUCGAGUCACGCUCGUGGAUGUAUGUCCAGAGGACAAUACUGUCCACUACCGCUGGCCUGAGACCCGCCCCAGCAUCACUCACUUCCUGCCGUGCUUCCCCAACAAGGAGCAGAGCGCCGCCAGGACAUGUUUGAUUGACCGCCACAACUUCUCAUCCUUUUGGUCACCCGCCGACUUCAGCAACUGCACCGACAUCGACGCCAUCCAGGUUUCAGCAGAGAAUGCGGCCGAGGUUGCCGCACAACUGGCCGCCAUUGCCAACAACCAGCUUUCCAAAGAAGAAGUGUCUAAAGUGGUCAGCAAGGUCAAGCAGCUGGUCCGUGUGGCCAAGAUCAAUGCCACCUUGGCGUCUGCAGUCGUUGCUGUCAUUUCCAAUGUCAUGAGCAGCCCUCAGAGCGCUCUGGCCCCCGCCUCCGACAGGGCCCUGAAGACGGUGGAGCAGCUGCUUGACAAGUUGGAAUUUGAGGGUCCAUCAGUGAGCAUCACGUCCAGACAUCUGUCCUUAGGGGUGUCAGCCUUCAAUACGUCGACCUUCAACGGGACGUCGUUCAGUGCCUUCAUCCCGCCAAACACAACCGACCCACAGAUUGACUUUGAAUCGGAGCGGACCAACCCGCUGGCUCAGGUCACGCUGCCUGCGUCGCUGCUGUCCGGUGCGUCGCUCAGCGAGGCCCGCAUCAACUUCCUGUUCUUCAGCAGCACCAGCCUCUUCCAGAGCGAGCUGGACGGACGCACGCUCAACAGUUAUGUGGUGGCCAGCAGCGUGGGAAACUGGAGCGUCAGCGACCUGAGUGAUCCAGUCCAGAUUGAGAUAGUUCACCUGUCGCCACAAGCCUUCCGCAAUCCUGUCUGCAUGUUCUGGGACUUCAGCAGGAACGCAGGUGGCGCGGGAGGCUGGAAUGCAGACGGCUGCAGAGUGUCCAAAGAAGAUUCCGGCAUCAACAGGACCGUCUGUUUGUGCGACCACUUGACGCACUUUGGCAUCCUGAUGGACAUUUCAGGAGUGUCGCCUCAUAUCGACCGGCGUAACAACCGCAUCCUCACCUUCAUCUCCUUUGUGGGUUGCGGCAUCUCCGCUAUCUUCUCAGCCGCCACAUUGCUCACCUACGUCGCCUUUGAGAAGCUGCGGCGUGACUACCCGUCCAAGAUCCUGAUGAACCUGAGCGCGUCGCUGCUGCUCCUCAACAUGGCGUUCCUGUUGAACGGAUGGUUGUCGGGGCAACGGAGCGAGGCGCUGUGCUUGGCCGCCGCCGUGCUGCUGCACUACUUCCUUCUGACGUCGUUCACGUGGAUGGGGCUGGAGUCGGUGCACAUGUACAUCGCGCUGGUCAAGGUGUUCAACACGUACAUUCGCAGAUACAUCCUCAAGUUCUGCCUGCUGGGCUGGGGAGUUCCUGCCGUGCUGGUCGCGACGGUCGUGGCCGUGGAUAAACGGUCCUAUGGCGCGCAGGAGUACGGCGCUGGCGAGUACGGCGAUGGAUCAUCUGAGUUCUGCUGGAUCCAAAGUCCACUUGUGUUCUACACGGCAUGCGUGGCCUACUUCUGCCUCGUCUUCCUGCUCAACGUUGCCAUGUUUGUCGUAGUCAUGCUGCAGAUCUGCGGACGCAAUGGCAAACAUAGCAACCGCACAUUCCGAGAGGAGGUGGUGCGGAACCUGCGCAGCGUGGUCAGCCUGACCUUCCUGCUUGGCAUGACCUGGGCCUUCGCGCUCUUCGCCUGGGGGCCCGUCAGCCUCAUCUUCGUCUACCUCUUCGCCAUCUUCAACUCGCUGCAAGGACUCUUCAUCUUCUUCUUCCACUGUGCGCUGAAAGAGAACGUGCAGAAGCAGUGGAGACGCUCGCUGUGCUGCGCUCGCUUCAGACUUGCCGACAACUCCGACUGGAGUAAGACGGCGACCAACAACAACACCAAGAAGGCCACGUCUGAGCAGGCGGUCCAGUCUUUGUCCUCAGGCUCCUUUGGCGCCAGUGCCACUAACUGGACCUCAAAAGCUAAAGUCACACUGAAGCCUUUCACUAGGACACACGACGACACAGAAAGUUGUUGCAGCCAAUAGGAGGAGGCGCAGAACAGCGCAGGUAAGCUGAAAGCCGAUUGGCUGCUGCAAGCAUCGCUUGCGUUGUCACACAUUCUUCACCUGAGACACCCUGAGGGGGCGGAGCAUUGACAUGUGACCACUCUAUCGUCUUGGCUAACACGCUAACCUGGCAGCUGGAACAACUGUGGUUCGUGGCCAGCGAGCACUAUACGUGAUUCAGUGAGGAAUGUUGGAUGAACGUCUGGCCCGGAAGCUUCUGGAUGUGAAAAAGCUCCUCUGGGUUUUUGCACCUUUGGAAAAUGAGUUGUGUUUGCUGUGAUGUCCAGUCGUCUUCAAGAUGAUGCAGUGGGCUUGUCGGUGCUUGUCAGCCAGACGUGAUGGACACUUCCCGAGCGAGUUGUAAUGUCUUGAAGAAGCCAUCCCACCUCAUCAUGACUUCCAGAUGUCUCAUCCAAACACUGGUGACCUCGCCGUCAGCUGUUGGCAGCGUGCUUGAAAAACAUUCCUGCAAAGGUCGGAUGUGUCAAACUUCCUGCAAUCUCUGAAUGCUGUGCUAUAAAGGA